UCGGGCAGCUAGCGUGGGACCCGUGCAACAGGCCAAAAGCAGGCUGUCGACAAGCAGGAGGGGCGUGAACGUAGUCCCCUACUACCAGAAAUGAUGAAGUCGCAGUCACGAUUUGGGGGAUUUGCAGGAGUCUACAGGAGGAGUCCACAAUACAGCUCACUUCAUUCAAAGAAAAUGUUGCAGAGACUGUUGAUAUCAUCUGUACUAUUCCAUAUGUGUGAUAUUAACCAUUUCAGAUCAACUGUUUUUUGUAAUACCUCUUGAAGCCGUUGAUGAAUGCAGCAUAAUUCAUGUAAUGUAUUCACGUUACUGGACAUAUUGUUUUCAAUUAAAUUACAGAUUAUUAUAUCAAAAGUA